rnacentral:rRNA from 1 species
GACGAACGCUGGCGGCGUGCUUAACACAUGCAAGUCGAACGGAAAGGCCCUGCUUUUGUGGGGUGCUCGAGUGGCGAACGGGUGAGUAACACGUGAGUAACCUGCCCUUGACUUUGGGAUAACUUCAGGAAGCUGGGGCUAAUACCGGAUAGGAGCUCCUGCUGCAUGGUGGGGGUUGGAAAGUUUCGGCGGUUGGGGAUGGACUCGCGGCUUAUCAGCUUGUUGGUGGGGUAGUGGCUUACCAAGGCUUUGACGGGUAGCCGGCCUGAGAGGGUGACCGGCCACAUUGGGACUGAGAUACGGCCCAGACUCCUACGGGAGGCAGCAGUGGGGAAUAUUGCACAAUGGGCGGAAGCCUGAUGCAGCAACGCCGCGUGCGGGAUGACGGCCUUCGGGUUGUAAACCGCUUUCGCCUGUGACGAAGCGUGAGUGACGGCAAUGGGUAAAGAAGCACCGGCUAACUACGUG